rnacentral:tRNA from 1 species
GCCAGUGUGGUAUAGUGGUUUGAGUGCUGGAUUGUGACUCUGGAGAUCAGGGUUCAAUUCCUCACUCAGCA